rnacentral:rRNA from 1 species
UUGCCUCAGUAACGGCGAGUGAAGCGGCAAUAGCUCAAAUUUGAAAUCUGCUCUUUGAGCCGAAUUGUAAUUUGUAGAGGAUGCUUCGGCUUACGUCUCGGUCUAAGUUCCUUGGAACAGGACGUCACAGAGGGUGAGAAUCCCGUUUGUGGCCGCGACUUCCGCCAUGUGAAGCUCCUUCGACGAGUCGAGUUGUUUGGGAAUGCAGCUCUAAAUGGGAGGUAUAUUUCUUCUAAAGCUAAAUACCGGCCAGAGACCGAUAGCGCACAAGUAGAGUGAUCGAAAGAUGAAAAGCACUUUGGAAAGAGAGUUAAAAAGUACGUGAAAUUGUUGAAAGGGAAGCGCUUGCGACCAGACUUGCCCGCGGAUGCUCAACCGGUCCUUCGGCCGGUGCACUCUUCCGCGGUCAGGCCAGCAUCAGUUCGAGUAGUUAGAUAAAGGCUUAGGGAAUGUGGCUCUCUUCGGGGAGUGUUAUAGCCCUUUGUGCAAUAUAACUCACUUGGACUGAGGCCCGCGCUUCGGCUAGGAUGCUGGCGUAAUGGUCGUAAGCGGCCCGUCUUGAAACACGGACCAAGGAGUCUAACAUCUAUGCGAGUGUUUGGGUGUCAAACCCGUGCGCGAAAUGAAAGUGAACGGAGGUGGGAACCUUAGGGUGCACCAUCGACCGAUCCUGAUGUCUUCGGAUGGAUUUGAGUAAGAGCAUAGCUGUUGGGACCCGAAAGAUGGUGAACUAUGCCUGAAUAGGGUGAAGCCAGAGGAAACUCUGGUGGAGGCUCGCAGCGGUUCUGACGUGCAAAUCGAUCGUCAAAUUUGGGUAUAGGGGCGAAAGACUAAUCGA